CCUCCUUAAACCGAAUUCUGCCCAUACACAUUCACACGAAGGGUUCCACGUUGCCCCAGUCGAGUCGAGCAUCACCCCACCUUAACAAAAGAACCAGCAAUACUUGGUUCGGAGUGUCCUUUCUAGCGCCGGAAUUGGGGCGUCAGCCGAAGAGUCAUCUCUGACACGAUUGUUAAUUUUCAAAAUCACCGGAUUCUGCUGAUGAAAUGUGGAAGUGUGGUAGUGCAGCUGGAACCUAGAAUAAUAUUAUGGGCUUUUCAUGUUCCUAUUUCAAGCUAGGUGAAACCUAAGGACAGGCGAAACGGAUAAACUCCACUAUUUUCAGAAGCCACGACCACCCAUAUGGGCACAGUUGGUGUUUUAAAUCUUGAACCAACGUUGUAAGCCGCAGUUUUCGCUUCAUUACCCAUCCAGAGAAGGAGACCAAUCGGCGAGCGGAUUAACACUCCAGUUUCUUCAGUUGUCUUUAUCAACACAGGCAAAAGGAAACAAAAGAAGCAAAGAAAACGGGGACUAUUGCUGAGGAGGAUCGAGCGAGACCAGCCAGAACAAAAACGAAAACAUAAAUAAUCCAUCUUUUCGCGCGGAUGCCGCCGUCACAACAGACUGAAGCCCCGGACCACGCCAUCCAAUAUACAUUCGACGGGGUAAAGCCAUUUCUUGAUUUCUUUUUGCCUUUUUCUAAUCGGAAACAAGUGAUGUAUCAGCAUGCAAAUAACUUCAAAAAAGAUCGAUAUGUCUUUCUGUUGACUCGACGACGGAGCGGCUGGAUACAUAUCGUGGGGGGUGGGGGAUGUAGUAAACUCAUCAGUGUUUUAACUUACGAGUGGUGGUGAAGGCGAAGGAUCCACCUUGUCUGGAUCCAAAGUCGUAGUCGAAUCCCUGUUUCAUGUUAGAAGAAAAAUCAAUCAAUCGACUUCGAUUUUCGCACUUGCACAACGGACAGGCUUACCCUGAAACUCAUGGCUCCAGUUGAUUUCAAUCAAGGGAAACACUUGGUAGUUAAAAUUUUCUUGGAAUCAAAAACUAGUCAGUCAGUUAAAUUGUGUAUGACAUUGACGUUCGGUGGACUCAACGUGAUGCCAAAGACAAACAAAGUAAAACCAGGCCUGCUCCACGGCCGAGGUUGAUGUGGACGAAUUCGACUAUCAACGCCAACGCGUAAGCGUGCAUUGUUGGGGCUAUGACGGUACGGCGCUUAUGACGCACAGCUAUACUUGCUCAGCUUUUGUUUGUUUCCUUGUUGGCGGAGAGCAUUCCACGCGCAUUGCCCGGUCAAUUGAUUUUCCUUUGAAGGCUUUGACAUGAGGAGAGGCGGGCGCGUGUGCAUAUGUAUAUCGUGCACGAGUCGUGACGGACCGAAGACUUCAUAUAGGCCAUAGAGAUAUUGUUUCGGGGCGGGGGAUUGGUGCACCGAAGAAUUCCGUCCAUCAACUCUGCGAAGGGCGCGGAUAAACACGAGGUUUCUCAUGUUAAGUUAUUUUCGGUAAGUUCCUCUACAGGAGACGACGACGACGACGGCGACGCGAAUUGAGGAGAGGACGGGAUACCUACGAGCCCGCGACAACGCACACUUGAUGGAUCAAUGAUUUCUUGACCAUCGUUCAGUUCUGUCCAGCCCCCAUCGACCCUAAAUGAUUCUUUUCUUUUUACGUCAAGAGGCGUGUUCGGUCUCUUUUUCCGGCCGGCUCUCUAUACCAAAUGCGUUUUAACAAGAUUUUUUUUUUUUUUAAAUGAGAAGAAUGGAACGACAUUAUGUUUAAUGAAGAGAGGUUUCGCUUUUAACUUUUUUUCACAGGAAUUGUUCGAGAAAGAAUUUCUUUAAACAAUCAACGUUAAACAAACAGAUAAGGUUACUGUAUACGAAUAUUUUUUAUUUCUUCCGGCUCAAUAUUUAUCACUGUCGUCGUUGGGAUCGUCGAUCCUCAUCUUGACACGUACCUUUUUCAUUAUGCAUGACUGUUUUUUAAUUCUUUAAACACACCUUCUAGCGUUCUCAACCCCGCUACGAGCAAGAUGGGAACUUGGCUCUUACAGUUUCUAAAUGGGGGUUGCCAUGCCAGCGGCAACAAAUAGAAAAAAAAAAAAACUUAUUUGCCAUCCUUUCGUUCUUAGAACUUAAUUAAAAAAAAAAAAAAAAUGUUUCAACUUUCUAAAUCCCAACUUCCCAGGCACGCUUCCGCCCCCUAUCGUUUUCAUUCUCUUACAGAUGUCCGAUUUAUCAUUCAGUUUAUUCACGUGUGUUGAUUCCAGAAAUGCAGGAGAAGAAUAUUGACCACCUCUACGGUAGCCCUUCUGAGGUCACUGGAUUGCACUCACAAAAUGAAACCCUGUUUGUAGUAUGUUUUACCGUAAUCAAAAUUAAAUUGAGAUUGGAUAAUAAUAGGGGAAUCCGGCUACGAAUCCACGGCGUCACGUCAGCGCAGACUUCUAAUCUGAUUUAUACGAAUAAAUGGAUCAUUCAUGGCCCCCAGACGUUAAAGUCGAGCUAGAUUUCUUUCUUCCAGGCGAGAUUGCAUGCGGCGCCAGUAUGUUAAUUGUCCUCCUACGAAACUUCCUACGUGACUCGGCUGGGAGAAGUCGGUUGUCGUACAAUGCGAUGAUGACCAUCCGUCACGCAAUAUCUAUUUCUUUGAGCUGAGCCGAGGGGGACUCUCGAG